AUGAUGGAUAAGAGCACCCCAACGCUUCUGGACAAACCCUAUCGCCCUUUCCCUCUCUUCCUCGCUCGCUCUCAUCACUGCAACCCACAACAGAAGCCUUGUGGCCAUGACCGUCAUCGUCCAUGCGCUCUGCGUCGUCCCCGCGCCAUGAGACCUUGUCCAUCCUCUCCGUCAUCGUCCGCUUCAUCAUCUGCGUCCACGAGCUCGAGCCGGCAUCCACUCCAUCGCCGGGAUCGAGCCCUUCUUCUUCCUCCGACCGACCCCAUCUCGCCGUCACCACCGCUGCUCCGGUCCAUCCCCGCGGCAACCGAGGUGUCCACAAGCCUCGUGAUGGAGGUGGCCAGAAGCGUAGUCUUCGACGGGACAUUGGAGUCCAGGAGCCAGACGCCACCGUUGAUGACGACUACUACUACUCGGGAGGUGCCUGCUACUACAUGCAGGCCACUGACGAUGACCAUGAGUAGUUUAGGAGGAUCCCAGGCAGGAGGCCUAUGCCUCUUUCGAUAA
rnacentral:rRNA from 1 species